UACGUAGGGUGCAAGCGUUGUCCGGAAUUAUUGGGCGUAAAGGGCUCGUAGGCGGUCCGUCACGUCGGGAGUGAAAACUUGGGGCUUAACCCCAAGCCUGCUUCCGAUACGGGCGGACUAGAGGUAGGCAGGGGAGAACGGAAUUCCUGGUGUAGCGGUGAAAUGCGCAGAUAUCAGGAGGAACACCCGUAGCGAAGGCGGCACUCUGGGCCGAUACUGACACUGAGGAGCGAAAGCGUGGGGAGCGAACAGG
rnacentral:rRNA from 1 species